rnacentral:tRNA from 1 species
UUGGCGUAAUGGUAAAGCGCUCUGGUUUAUAUGCAAGAGGUUGUGGGUUCAAAUCCCACA